GUGGUGCUGGCUCAAUGGCAGAGCACUCGCCUAGCAUGUGUGAAGCACUGAGUACGAUCCUCAGCACCACA
rnacentral:tRNA from 1 species